rnacentral:rRNA from 1 species
UACGUAGGCAGCGAGCGUUGUUCGGAAUUACUGGGCGUAAAGAGUGUGUAGGCGGUGCUCUAAGUUCGGUGUGAAAUCUCCUGGCUCAACUGGGAGGGUGCGCCGGAAACUGGAGUGCUUGAGCGUGGGAGAGGAAAGCGGAAUUCCUGGUGUAGCGGUGAAAUGCGUAGAUAUCGGGAGGAACACCUGUGGCGAAAGCGGCGCACUGGACCACAACUGACGCUGAGGCGCGAAAGCUAGGGGAGCAAACAGG